AGGGCAUCCAUGUCUUGUAAUUGGAAUGAGUAGACUUUAAAUCCCUUUACGAGUACCAAUUGGAGGGCAAGUCUGGUGCCAGCAGCCGCGGUAAUUCCAGCUCCAAUAGCGUAUAUUAAAAUUGUUGCGGUUAAAAAGCUCGUAGUUGGAUUUCUGCUGAGGACGACCGGUCCGCCCUCUGGGUGAGUAUCUGGCUUGGCCUUGGCAUCCUCUUGGAGAACGUAGUUGCACUUGACUGUGUGGUGCGGUAUCCAGGACUUUUACUUUGAGGAAAUUAGAGUGUUUCAAGCAGGCACACGCCUUGAAUACAUUAGCAUGGAAUAAUAAGAUAGGACCUCGGUUCUAUUUUGUUGGUUUCUAGAACUGUGGUAAUGAUUAAUAGGGAUAGUUGGGGGCAUUCGUAUUUAACUGUCAGAGGUGAAAUUCUUGGAUUUCCGAAAGACGAACUACUGCGAAAGCAUUUACCAAGGAUGUUUUCAUUAAUCAAGAACGAAAGUUAGGGGAUCGAAGAUGAUUAGAUACCAUCGUAGUCUUAACCAUAACCUAUGCC
rnacentral:rRNA from 1 species